GUUGGUUGAAAAUCACGUUUGACUUUGGCCAUGGCCACAGGUGAGAUUCAGCACCCAGAGCCACUAGGGGCCUUAGCUCACUGCCUCUUCUCCAUGUGGGGAGGUGAAACCCAGGCACUGACAUGC